GAUGAACGCUGACAGAAUGCUUAACACAUGCAAGUCUACCAAGAAUCACUUCAGUGAGGAAUGGUGGCGGACGGGUGAGUAACGCGUAAAUAAUCUGCCCUUUAGACUGGGAUAUCCUUUGGAAACGAAGGUUAAUACCGGAUAUUAUGAGAUGGACGCAUGUUCAACUUAUGAAAGCUAAAUGCACUAGAGGAGGAGUUUGCGUCCCAUUAGCUAGUUGGUGAGGUAAAGGCUCACCAAGGCCACGAUGGGUAGCCGGCCUGAGAGGGUGAACGGCCACAAGGGAACUGAGACACGGUCCUUACUCCUACGGGAGGCAGCAGUGGGGAAUAUUGGACAAUGGACCAAAAGUCUGAUCCAGCAAUUCUGUGUGCACGAUGAAGGUCUUCGGAUUGUAAAGUGCUUUCAGUAGGGAAGAAAAAAAUGACGGUACCUACAGAAGAAGCGACGGCUAAAUAUGUGCCAGCCGCCGCAGUAACAC
rnacentral:rRNA from 1 species